rnacentral:rRNA from 1 species
UAGGAAUGCUAAUAGUAUUUCUACUUGACUAAGGCUCCGGAGGAAGCCACGGCUAACUCUGUGCCAGCAGCCGCGGUAAUACAGAGGCGGCAAGCGUUGUUCGGAAUUAUUGGGCGUAAAGAGCAUGUAGGCGGCUAUGUAAGUCGGUUGUGAAAGCCUUCCGCUUAACGGAAGAAUGGCGGUCGAAACUGCAUGGCUUGAGUGCGGGAGGGGAGAGUGGAACUUCUGGUGGAGCGGUGAAAUGCGUAGAUAUCAGAAGGAACGUCGGCGGCGAAAGCGACUCUCUAGACCGUAACUGACGCUGAGUGUGCGAAAGCUAGGGGAGCAAACGGGAUUAGAGACCGCGGUAGUCCUAGCCGUAAACGAUGGGCACUAAGUAGAGGGGUUUGGAUUAUCUCUCUGCCGGAGCUAACGCAUUAAGUGCCCCGCCUGGGGAGUACGGCCGCAAGGCUAAAACU